UAUAUCUUGCCACAAGACAUGUGCGCUAAGCUAGCCAAAUUAGUUUCUGUUAGCGAAUCAAGUUCAAGCUCCUCACAUAUCAUCAUCCAGGGUACAGUCAUAUGCUCAUGAGGAGAUCCCACGCAGGUGAAGGUGCUGCCCACCCAUGAUACCAGCAAGGUGCGUGCAAGUGGAUCCGGCCUUAACACCACUGGAGCGCCCACCUCUCUGCCAGUGAAGGUCACCAUUGAUGCCAAAGAUGCAGGACCCAGAGGGGAAGCCCAAGAAGCAGAUAUCUGUGACAGCCAUGAUGGGACCUACCUGGUGUUUUAUGUGCCAGACAUGACUGACAGAUACACCACUCUCAUUAAGUACGGAGGAGACAAGAUCC